rnacentral:rRNA from 1 species
CGGGGUGAGUAACGCGUGGGUAACCGUGCCUUGUACAGGGGGAUAACAGUUGGAAACGGCUGCUAAUACCGCAUAAGCGCACGGCAUCGCAUGAUGCAGUGUGAAAAACUCCGGUGGUAUAAGAUGGACCCGCGUUGGAUUAGCUAGUUGGUGAGGUAACGGCCCACCAAGGCGACGAUCCAUAGCCGACCUGAGAGGGUGACCGGCCACAUUGGGACUGAGACACGGCCCAA